UGCGCAGGCGGGCUUGUAAGUCAGUGGUGAAAUACUGCCGCUCAACGGUAGAACUGCCAUUGAUACUGCAAGUCUUGAAUAUGGUUGAGGUAGGCGGAAUGUGUCGUGUAGCGGUGAAAUGCAUAGAUAUGACACAGAACGCCAAUUGCGAAGGCAGCUUACUAAGCCAUUAUUGACGCUGAGGCACGAAAGCGUGGGGCGCGAACAGGAUUAGAUACCCUGGUAGUCC
rnacentral:rRNA from 1 species